GUGCCAGCCGCCGCGGUAAUACGGAGGGUGCGAGCGUUAAUCGGAAUUACUGGGCGUAAAGCGCGCGUAGGCGGCUUGAUAAGCCGGUUGUGAAAGCCCCGGGCUCGACCUGGGAACGGCAUCCGGAACUGUCAGGCUAGAGUGCAGGAGAGGAAGGUAGAAUUCCCGGUGUAGCGGUGAAAUGCGUAGAGAUCAGGAGGAAUACCAGUGGCGAAGGCGGCCUUCUGGACUGACACUGACGCUGAGGUGCGAAAGCGUGGGUAGCAAACAGGAUUAGAUACCCUGGUAGUCCACGCCGUAAACGAUGUCGACUAGCCGUUGGGUCCUUCGCGGACUUUGUGGCGCAGUUAACGCGAUAAGUCGACCGCCUGGGGAGUACGGCCGCAAGGUUAAAACUCAAAUGAAUUGACGGGAGCCCGCACAAGCGGUGGAGCAUGUGGUUUAAUUCGAUGCAACGCGAAGAACCUUACCUACCCUUGACAUCCUGCGAACCCUUCGGAGACGAAGGGGUGCCUUCGGAAACGCAGAGACAGGUGCUGCAUGGCUGUCGUCAGCUCGUGUUGUGAAAUGUUGGGUUAAGUCCCGUAACGAGCGCAACCCUUGUCCCUAUUUGCCAGCGAUUCGGUCGGGAACUCUAGGGAGACUGCCGGUGACAAACCGGAGGAAGGUGGGGACGACGUCAAGUCAUCAUGGCCCUUACGGGUAGGGCUACACACGUGCUACAAUGGUCAGUACAAAGGGUUGCGAACUUGCGAGAGUGAGCCAAUCCCAGAAAGCUGAUCUCAGUCCGGAUCGGAGUCUGCAACUCGACUCCGUGAAGUCGGAAUCGCUGGGUAAUCGUGAAUCAGAAUGUCACGGUGAAUACGUUCCCGGGCCUUGUACACACCGCCCGUCACACCAUGGGAGUGGACUGCACCAGAAGUGGUUAGCCUAACCUUCGGGAGGGCGAUCACCACGGUGUGGUUCAUGACUGGGGUGAAGUCGUAACAAGGUAACC
rnacentral:rRNA from 1 species